rnacentral:rRNA from 1 species
AGUGAACGCUGGCGGCAGGCCUAACACAUGCAAGUCGAGCGGCAGCGGGCCCUUCGGGAUGCCGGCGAGCGGCGGACGGGUGAGGAAUGCAUCGGAAUCUGCCCUGUCGUGGGGGAUAACCUAGGGAAACUUAGGCUAAUACCGCAUACGACCCACGGGUGAAAGCGGGGGAUCGCAAGACCUCGCGCGAUAGGAUGAGCCGAUGCCCGAUUAGCUAGUUGGCGGGGUAAAGGCUCACCAAGGCGACGAUCGGUAGCUGGUCUGAGAGGAUGAUCAGCCACACUGGGACUGAGACACGGCUCAGACUCCUACGGGAGGCAGCAGUGGGGAAUAUUGGACAAUGGGCGCAAGCCUGAUCCAGCCAUGCCGCGUGGGUGAAGAAGGCCUUCGGGUUGUAAAGCCCUUUUGUCCGGGAAGAAAUCGUCUGGGCUAAUACCCCGGGCGGAUGACGGUACCGGAAGAAUAAGCACCGGCUAACUUCGUG